GCACCCGCGGUAAUUCCAGCACCAAUAGCGUAUAUUAAUGCUGCUGCUGUUAAAAAGCUCGUAGUUGGAUCAAGAGUUCCACAGUGCACGGUGGCCCUGGUUGUCGAGGUGGAUCCGGUCACCGAGACGCCAGUGGAUCAACCCUGUGCGCCAAACUGUGGUCUCUAAUCGACCGAAGCGGUUCCCUGUGAGUAGGCUCCUUCAUUGGGGCUGAAAGCGAUUACGCAUCAACCAUAUGCAUACGGGACGUCGGUCAAUGUUACUGUGAACAAACCAGCGUGUCCAAAACAGGCUUCUGCCUGAAUGUUCGAGCAUGGAAUAACAAGGGAUCGAUUCUCUCGGUUCUUUUUGUUGGUUUUUAACCCGAGAAGGAGAAAUUCAGGCCACGGUGUCUGAGUUGGGUUCCCCUUCACUUCGGUGAAGGCCCCAAUUAGGCCGUGUCCUUACGGGAUAAAUAGGGACUGCCGGGGUCGUACGUACUUCUACGUCAGAGGUGAAAUUCUUAGAUCGUGGGAAGACGAACUUCUGCGAAAGCAUUCGACAAGAAUGUCUUCAUUAAUCAAGAACGAGAGUGUGGGGAUCGAAGAUGAUCAGAUACCGUCGUAGUCCACUACUGUAAACAAUGCCGUCUCAGGAUUGAGAAGUGAACAGAAUGACCUUCACAGCACUAACCCCUGAAACGAGAAAUCAAAGAUUAUGGGUUCAGGGGGGAGUACAUUCGCAAGGCUGAAACUUAGAGGAAUUGACGGAAUGACACCACAAGGCGUGGAGUAUGCGGCUUAAUUUGACUCAACACGGGGAAUUUUACUAGGUCAGGACAAUGUAAGGAUUGACAGAUUGAGAGCUCUUUCUCGAUCCAUUGUGUGGUGGUGCAUGGCCGCUCCUGGUUGGUGGAGUGAUUUGUCUGGUUGAUUCCGUUAACGAACGAGAUCUCGACCCUUAAAUAGGUGCUCGUGUCGAUUGUAGUCUCAUCUCUGCUCGCUUGCACGAUUCACGUGGGACGAGACUGUGGGAAUACUUCUUAAGGGGACUGUGUGCGUCUAUAGCACGCGGAAGAGCGAGCCAAUAGCAGGUCUGUGAUGCUCCUAAAUGUCCUAGGCUGCACGCGCACUACACUGAUGCAAUAAACGAGUCUGAUUGCCUUCUGGCAACCUAGCUAGAAUGAGCUGGGAAAUCUUUUGAACUUGCAUCGUGAUGAG
rnacentral:rRNA from 1 species